rnacentral:rRNA from 1 species
CACGUAGGGUGCAAGCGUUGUCCGGAAUCAUUGGGCGUAAAGAGCUCGUAGGCGGCUUAGUAAGUCGGGUGUGAAAACCCCAGGCUCAACCUGGGGACGCCACCCGAUACUGCUAUAGCUAGAGUCCAGUAGGGGAGUGUGGAAUUCCCAGUGUAGCGGUGAAAUGCGCAGAUAUUGGGAGGAACACCAGCGGCGAAGGCAGCUCGCUGGGACGGUACUGACGCUAAGGCGCGAAAGCGUGGGGAGCGAACAGG